ACGAACGCUGGCGGCGUGCCUAACACAUGCUAGUCGAACGGAACCCCUUGGAAAGAGUUUUCGGACAAUGGAAGAGGGCGUUUAGUGGCGGACGGGUGAGUAACGCGUGAGCAAUCUACCUUUCAGAGGGGGACAACAGUUGGAAACGACUGCUAAUACCGCAUAACGUAUCUUUGCGGCAUCGUAGAGAUACCAAAGAUUUAUCGCUGAGAGAUGAGCUCGCGUCCAAUUAGCUAGAUGGCGGGGUAAAGGCCCACCAUGGCGACGAUUGGUAGCCGGACUGAGAGGUUGAACGGCCACAUUGGGACUGAGACACGGCCCAGACUCCUACGGGAGGCAGCAGUGGGGGAUAUUGCGCAAUGGGGGAAACCCUGACGCAGCAACGCCGCGUGAAGGAAGAAGGUCUUCGGAUUGUAAACUUUUGUCUUGUGGGACGAAUCAAUGACGGUACCACAGGAGGAAGCCACGGCUAACUACGUGCCAGCAGCCGCGGUAAUACGUAGGUGGCGAGCGUUGUCCGGAAUUACUGGGUGUAAGGGUGCGUAGGCGGGGAUGCAAGUCAGAUGUGAAAUCUAUCGGCUUAACUGGUAAACUGCAUUUGAAACUGCAUUUCUUGAGUGGUGGAGAGGUAAGCGGAAUUCCUAGUGUAGCGGUGAAAUGCGUAGAUAUUAGGAGGAACACCAGUGGCGAAGGCGGCUUACUGGACACUAACUGACGCUGAGGCACGAAAGCAUGGGGAGCAAACAGGAUUAGAUACCCUGGUAGUCCAUGCCGUAAACGAUGAUUACUAGGUGUAGGAGGUAUCGACCCCUUCUGUGCCGGAGUUAACACAAUAAGUAAUCCACCUGGGGAGUACGGCCGCAAGGUUGAAACUCAAAGGAAUUGACGGGGGCCCGCACAAGCAGUGGAGUAUGUGGUUUAAUUCGAAGCAACGCGAAGAACCUUACCAGGUCUUGACAUCCAACUAACGAGGCAGAGAUGCGUUAGGUGCCCUUUUGGGAAAGUUGAGACAGGUGGUGCAUGGUUGUCGUCAGCUCGUGUCGUGAGAUGUUGGGUUAAGUCCCGCAACGAGCGCAACCCUUAUUGUUAGUUGCUACGCAAGAGCACUCUAACGAGACUGCCGUUGACAAAACGGAGGAAGGUGGGGACCACGUCAAAUCAUCAUGCCCUUUAUGACCUGGGCUACACACGUACUACAAUGGCGAUCAACAGAGGGAAGCAAGACAGCGAUGUGGAGCGAACCCCUAAAAGUCGUCUCAGUUCGGAUCGCAGGCUGCAACCCGCCUGCGUGAAGUCGGAAUUGCUAGUAAUCGCGGAUCAGCAUGCCGCGGUGAAUACGUUCCCGGGCCUUGUACACACCGCCCGUCACACCAUGAGAGUUGGGAACACCCGAAGCCUGUGAGCUAACCGGUUAUCUGGGGGCAGCAGUCGAAGGUGGGUCUGAUGAUUGGGGUGAAGUCGUAACAAGGUAGCCG
rnacentral:rRNA from 1 species